rnacentral:lncRNA from 10 species
GCGGCUUCAUUCUUGAAGUCAGUGAGAGCAAGAACCCACCAAUUCCAGACACAAUAGUAUCCACAGUGUGUAAAACAGUGAAGGCAUAUGGUAAGAGCAUAAUAUAUAUUGUAUACUUCAUACUCAAUGAAUGAGAUUUGUAAGUCUGCACUUCUUUGCCUUGCUAUUUCAUGCAAGAAGCAAUAUGAAAAAGAAAGCCUAAAAAGAAGUUUGUUCUGCAUAAGACUUUUGCCACCUUUUCAACAACCAUGCAAAAAAUGGAUGGCAGGCCCUGUAGAACUGAUCUUUUUAAGGCGCACUUACAACUGAAAGGUCAGCCUUCAUUAUGUUUCCAGCAUAUCUGUGUACUUAAUAAGAGAACAGUUAGCUACAAGAGCAACAACUAAGAAAAAAAUGUCCACAGUGAAACUUAAUCCCCGAGGUGUUACUGUCUCUCCAUGCCUGCAUGUGGAUCUCACCAUUCCUCUAGUCCUGGUGCUUGCUUUCAACACAGAGCUCUGGACUGCAAGGCAUUUGAUUUCUGGUUCUUUCGAUAUUCAAGUUGGAAGAGAGAAUAUGAACAGAUGGCUGUGGCAAACAGCACAUUGCAAUUGGGAAGCAGAGUACAGGUACUAGUGAACAUGACAUUUGGUAUUCCAUAAUAGUCCUGAAAAUUAAUUUUAAAUUAGUCUUCAAAAUCAUAAUAAAGAGCAA